AUACGCUUCCAGAGAAAAUUCAGACUUUGAGCUGGAGGUUAUCCCUGAUCUGAAGAUAGGCUUCAAGAGUUGUUCAUCAAGAGGAAUGAAUCACAGUCACUAAAGGCACCUUCCUAUGACAUUUUGGAUGGCUCCUGGAAUAAAUUUCUACCACUGAGGAACCUUGCUGGUGAGGCAGAAGUCUCUGUCUCCACAGAGAAAAAGCCAAAAGAAGGGAGUUGUGCAUCUACUUAGAAUAAGAGAAAACGGUUUCCAGAUGGCUACUGAAUGGUUAGGUUUCUCUGUCACAUGGCAACAAGUCUUACUGCCUCAAAUGCUGGUUCUAAGGACUACUGUGAAAUCCUACUAUUGAGAUUCAUCUAGAUCCAAUUCCAUCUCAUUAUUGUGGAGAUACAGUGCAGAGAACAAUACAUGAAUAAAUACAACUGGAUUCUGCUCUACUGA
rnacentral:lncRNA from 1 species